UUGCUUUAAGGACAACCAUUUAUUGACAGCAACACAACAGAUAUAUAUAUUUUGAUAAGAUUACAUCUGUGAAACAACAAUAAUGAAAACAUGAAAACUAUAUAACUAACAUAUUUUGGCUUCUAAAAUCAAAUAAUAACCAGAUGCUCCGCAGGGCGCAGCUUUAUACGACCGCAGAGGUUGAACCCUGAUUGGUUGGGCAAGUAUGGACACAACAUUCAAGCUGGAUUCAGCUCUAAAUUUGGAUUGUGAUUAAAUAGUUGACACAGCAUAGGUUUCUGACACAGAAUGAAUGUGGU
rnacentral:lncRNA from 1 species